rnacentral:pre_miRNA from 1 species
CAAAUACUCCCUCCAUCCAGAAAUACUUGUCAUCAAAAUGGAUAAAAGGAAAUGUAUCUAGACGUAUUUUAGUUUUAGAUACAUCUCUUUUUAUCCAUUUUGAUGACAAGUAUUUUUGGACGGAGGGAGUAGAAA